GAAAGAGGCGGAGUCACCACAGCGUUGUGCGCCUAGUCGGCGCUCGCUAAAUAUCAUCGAUGGCCUGAGGGGGGGGAAGGGGCGGAGCCUCCUGAGGAGGGGGCGGGAAAGAGGCGGACUCACCGGGAGGGGCUGCCCAGGGGGUGGUGGAGUCGGCGGGAUCUUCGGUGAGGGGCGAGCGCCGCCGCCUCCGGCCCGCAGGCCCUGGCUGAGGGAGUCCCGGCCCAUCCCCUCCCCUCCCCUCCCCUCCCCCCCAGCGGAGGCCGCGCCGUGCGGGAGGAAGGGACCCCCCCCCGCCCCCCCACCCGGCCCCGGCGCAGGGCGGGGGUGGCGCCCCCUAGGGAGGGAACCGAGCAGCUGUGGGGGGGGGGGCGAGGAGCAUGCGCAGAAGGGGCGGGCCCGGGAGCGGGGCCUCCAGCCCUCGCCGCUCCCUCGAGGCGUCGCACGGAGCCAGAGGGAACGGGGAGACGGCUGGAUUCAUUCAUUCGAUAGUACUUAUCCAACGCUUACUAUGUGCAGAGCACUGUACUGAGCGCUUGGAAUACACAAGUCGGCAACAGAGAGACAUCCCUCGCGUGCGUUUUGUUGGACGCCCACGUGCCGAGGCGUGCUGCUUUCCAAAGAAGGGGAGGAACGCAGUAAGCGCUUAAUUAAUGUGAUUGAAUCGAUGAAUGAAGAAAAAAGCCCACCCAAAUUACAACUGAAUAAACCCCACCUGCACGGUCUCCACCUAAGUUCAUUGCCCACCCGGCAGCCCCUUUCUGCCCGCCUCUGUCUCGGUGGCAGAGAAGCUCCCCUUAGAAGCUGCCUUGCAGGUACCAAUCCCCAAGAAGACCUGCAGUAAAUUGUAAACUGCCUCCCCAAAUCAGCCAGAUGCUACGGGCUGACAAGUCUAAGGAAAACCGAGGUCACAGACCAGCCUGUGCCCAGAAAACCGCAUCCAACUCCAAAAUCUAUACUGAUGACAUAGAGCUUAAAAGCUGUUGCAGAAUUCUGCUACCAUAGCAGCGUGCUGACCAAUGACACGAUGACAGACAGGGAAACAAAGAAGAAGGCCAGCACAUCCUCUGGGAGAGUGUCAGAGUGUGCGGUACCAGGAUCCAGACCAAACGAUAGGUCUACUGAAUGGUGGACUAGGCCGGUCUUCUCAUUAGCUAUGUGACCUGGAUCAUAGUUCCACCUGUGUCACUUAUGGGUCAGAUGAAAUAUUAGAAGGCAAGAUCAUAAACAAGGUCACGAUCAUGAGGUCUGUCCCCUAGUAUCGAAAUUAUGCUCAUUUUAACUUUGUUCUGCCGGGAGGGAUGGGAGAGGAGAAUGAGAGACAACAAUGCACAAUCUCUGGGAAAUCUCUGAACGGCUCCACUCCAAGUUACCUCAGAGAUGUUCCUCUGAGCAGGGCUCUCUCCUUUCACCUGACCUCCCUGCUCUCCCCCAGCCCCUCAGAAUCAGUCCAAAAGACCCUCUCUGAGCACCGACGACUUUGGGCUUUGCCAGAUUCUGCUCCAUGAGCCACUGCGCUGGGCCCGGGAGUGUGGCCUGGGUCCUGCCAGGAGGGAUGGGACAGCAGUGG
rnacentral:lncRNA from 1 species